UUUCCAUUUUAUACAUUUUUCAAUAAAUCUAGGGACAAUCAGAGAACACAUAAUAUUGAAAUAUAAAUAGCUACAACAUUGGAUUACUGACUCCUCCAAAAACAGUUUGUCUCAGAAUAGGACAUGUAAUAUAAGUGCAUGUGCCUUGAAAGCAACCCAAGUUCUUCCACAAGCCCGAGCCUCUGAAGGGACGCGUCCGAGUCUCCAUGGAGAUUAAGCGCGUUCCUUAACACAGCUGACUGAGAUGAAGCAAUCCGCAUGUCCGUGAGCGCGCAUUACACAAUGAGCGAACGGUUGCAGUGUACCACCAAAUGGAUACUGCCAUCUUCCUGUGAUGGCACUGAAGCCUGGAAAUUCCUUUGGUUCUUCUAGAGGACAAGAAUAGACUAGCUCUUCUGGCAGGUGCCAUUCCCUCUGUCUUUUACAGGCAGUCUACAGAGGAUCUGGUUCUUCCAAAUCCUUCAUUCCUGUACUGGAGGAACCUGUUCAUGCAGAGGGUGCUAAAAUGACUAUAAUGACGACAGGCUUGGUCUCGGAUUACUGGAGGCUACAGUGCGUCAAUAGGAGGCUGCAACCUAUAGCUUGUCAGGAGAUGAGCCUCCUAUCUUGCUCUGCCACAAAGGGUUCUUGCCAGUACAAUUAUACCCUUAGGCAGAUACAGCGGGCUGUUUAUAUAGCAGCAACACCAAAAUGCACAGCAAGAAAUGGAUUAGCAAACUGGUCUGGCCCUUGGGCAGUGUCCCCAAUUUCUUCCUAUUUCCCCGCUUCCAGCCACACAAAUUCAUGCACUACUUAAAAAGGAUUGUGACUGCGUCACUGACAGAGACAGUAUCUUUGACAAAGACACCUUUGACUGGCUGUUCUGGCACCGGCGCUUAUGAACUGAUGCGAACCGCAGCAAGGUUGGGUCUUCUGGGCCUCUGUCAGCAGUGUAAAGCAUACACUCUGAAGCGAUAUCAGCUCAGAUACACAGAGCCACACCAUCUGUUACCGAAGGGAACUGAACCAUUCUCUCUCAUGUCUUCGGUGUAGCAUCUGAGAGCAGUGUGAAGGAUUAAGUCUGCCAGGGCCCCAGGGAAGGAGUGCGGGGAAUGGCAGUUUGACACUGCUUGGCAGAAGGCACCAGAGUUAGAGUGGAUUAACAGAGGAUCUGGGGCUGGGGCCUGGGUUUUGCUGCCUCUGCUUGGCUCCGACAGAUUUCUCCUGAUCAAACCCAACUCAUUUAAUCUCUUUUUCCUCUCUGCGACUUUGCGAAAACCUACAGCAAAAACCGAAACACAGGCACCAGAACAGCGGUCAUGGCAACAAUCCCAUGAUGUUUCUAGAACAGUGAUCUGCAACCCUGGUCCUGGAGAGCCACAAGUUCUGCUGGUUUUUGUUUUCACCUUAAAAUCUGCAUUACCUGUGUAAUCAACUGCUUUAAUUCAUUAAGUACAGAGUAACAAUGAAAAACCAGCACUGCCUGUGGCUCUCCAGGACCCAGGUUGCAGGCCUCUGCUCAAUCACAACCCUGCAGAAUACUGUACCCUCAUAUGAGCUCCUCAGAUGUGUAGGUCUGUCAUGAUUUAGUUACUGUUUUCCCCCAGUUCCAUUAGUUUUUUUUCUCCAGUCUAAAAUAAGCAUUUCCAUUGCCUGUUUUGACAGGUGUCUUAUCAGUUUCCACAUCUCGGGUGUGACUGUCAUGCUUGCUGGGGUUCAAUUUGCCCGGCCGGCUCGGCAGAUCUCCACGGGUGUGCAGCGGCUUUGGUCUCGUAAAGACCGUGGGGGCUGCCCUGGGAUGGAGGGGGGCUGAGCAGGAAGGGUUGGGUGGGACCAUGCCCACUGAGGCAUGAAGCUGAUGCCAGCAAGUUCAAACUGCACUGAUGUGGCCAAUGGUCAUAAAUAGCAGCCUGAUGUGUCCUACAUCCAGCCUCCCCUUGGGCAACAGGCCAACUUCCUCCCCUGAGACAGGGACAGAAGCAAACAAGGACUAAAGGAACACAGUGACGGACUGCACGAGAGAUUGACAGAUCAUGUAUAGAGCAAGAGAAAUGUACCAUUGACUGGAAAGGAGAUGCAGUUUACAUUGCCUUGGUGGUUACUAAGACUCCUGAUUGUAUAUAUUUGGGAAAUUUGGUGGAAUUGGAUGUACAAUAAAAUUUGUUCUAUGAUCAAACAUUGCGUAGCCAACUCCCUUUUUAGUAACACCUGAGUGGAUGCCUCUGCAGAGAGUGCAAAGGGCUGAAAUUUUCUACGGUUGAUGUGCACUUGAAUGUUAUAUUUUAUAUUACCACAUAACCCAAUCUCACCGGUACCAUACUGUAAAUGAGUAGGACAGCUAUGGACUGUGAAAUUUAAGCCUCAAACUGCUUGGUCCCACUACUGUUCCAUCUAUCUCACCAUUUCUUUCUUUAGGAUUGGUUUGACCUGUCUUGAAUAUCAGUCUGUCUCUCAGAACAUCCACAUG